UACGUAGGGUGCAAGCGUUAAUCGGAAUUACUGGGCGUAAAGCGUGCGCAGGCGGUUUUGUAAGUCUGUCGUGAAAUCCCCCGGGCUCAACCUGGGAAUUGCGAUGGAGACUGCAAGGCUAGAAUCUGGCAGAGGGGGGUAGAAUUCCACGUGUAGCAGUGAAAUGCGUAGAGAUGUGGAGGAACACCGAUGGCGAAGGCAGCCCCCCUGGGUCAAUACUGACGCUCAUGCACGAAAGCGUGGGGAGCAAACAGG
rnacentral:rRNA from 1 species